rnacentral:rRNA from 1 species
AGCGAACGCUGGCGGCAGGCUUAACACAUGCAAGUCGAACGGGCAUCUUCGGAUGUCAGUGGCAGACGGGUGAGUAACACGUGGGAACGUACCCUUCGGUUCGGAAUAACUCAGGGAAACUUGAGCUAAUACCGGAUACGACCUUUUGGGGAAAGGUUUACUGCCGAAGGAUCGGCCGGCGUUUGAUUCGCUUGUUGGUGGGGUAACGGCCUACCAAGGCAGCGAGCAGUAGGUGGUCUGAGAGGAUGAUCAGCCACACUGGGACUGAGACACGGCCCAGACUCCUACGGGAUGCAGCAGUGGGGAAUAUUGGACAAUGGGCGCAAUCCUGAUCCAGCCAUGCUGCGUGAGUGAUGAAGGCCUGAGGGUUGUAAAGCUCUUUUGUCCGGGACGAUAAUGACGGUACCGGAAGAAUAAGCCCCGGCUAACUUCGUG